CCCUCGGCUUCGCGCGCCGCGAUCCCACUAACCCCGUCAGAUCCGGAAGGAAGCAGCGGUCCGUGACGAGCGCGGGCCGCGAAACACCGGGGGGUU
rnacentral:SRP_RNA from 1 species